rnacentral:snRNA from 1 species
GUGCUUCAGUAGCACAUAUACUAAACUUGAAACAAUACAGAGAUUAGCAUGGCCUCUGUGCAAGGAUGACAUGCAAAUUUGUGAAGCAUUCUAUACGUUU